UAUCUCUGUAGAGUCUGCAUAUCAAUAAGCGGAGGAAAAGAAACUAACUAGGAUUCCCUCAGUAACGGCGAGUGAAGCGGGAAGAGCUCAAAUUUGAAAUCUUCAAGGUUUUACCUUGACGAAUUGUAGUUUAAAGAAGUGUUUUCUGUUGGAGUUUUGGCUAAAAGUUCUUUGGAAUAGGACAUCAUAGAGGGUGAGAAUCCCGUAUUUGACCAUUAUUUCCAGCUUUGUGAUACACUUUCAAAGAGUCGGAUCGUUUGGGAAUGCAGUCCAAAAUGGGUGGUAAAUUUCAUCUAAAGCUAAAUACUGGCGAGAGACCGAUAGCGAACAAGUACCGUGAGGGAAAGAUGAAAAGAACUUUGAAAAGAGAGUUAAACAGUACGUGAAAUUGUCAAAAGGGAAGCGUUUGACACCAGUGUUGUUUUCUCGAAAAUCAAUUAAAAAUGGCGGGAUUUUGUGUUGUAUUGACUUUAUCAGCUUUCUGCACUCUUUUCCUGUCUUUUUUAAUGCACUUUUCGUUUAACAAGUCAACAUCAAUUUCUUUUGUUGUAAAAGAGUCAUUGGAAGGUGGCUUUCUUUUCGGAGAAAGUGUUUAUAGCCUUUGGCUUCUGCAAUCGGAGAGAUUGAGGUCUGCAGCGUAGAUCCUUCGGGGUUAGAUACACUUGUGCUAAGUUAUAGCCUUUCAUAGACAACUUGUUGACUAUGAUCAGUCAUGUAGCUUACUCGCUUAUGCUAUUUUACCUACGCUUAGGAUGUUGAGUCAUCACACAUCUCU
rnacentral:rRNA from 1 species